rnacentral:lncRNA from 1 species
UUGGGUUUAUAUGUAAUACAUUAUUUUCUGUCUACUACUAAUAAUAGGAAAUGGAUUCCUGGUUAACAUUUUCACACAGAACAUAUGAUUUUCUGGAACAGAUUAUUAACAUUACAAGGGAGUUGCCUGGUAGUCAGAGAUCCCUGCGAUGGUGGAGCUGAUAUUCUAGAGCAACGUGGAGCUUUGCUGGAGAAAUACAAGAGAUGAGGAGCAUAGAUGGUGAUGGCAUCGAAGAAGCAAGGACGUUGGGAAGAAAAUCAUACAGAAAUAAUGAUGGUGGGAAAUAACAAGCUACAUAAAUCAUAUACAGAUUGCUGUCAAGUUGAAAUGUUGCUAAAAACUAUGUACCUCCUAACCAGAUAGUCUUUUUUAAAAAAUACCAGAAGGGUGCUGUCAUAAAAUUUAAUUUGAUCCUGAAAUGCUUAACAAAGACCAAGACAUGAGGGAAGCAGAGGUCAGACCCAGACACAUGGGUUGGAAAAGAGAAUGAUGAUACAGAUUCUAGUGAUAGCGCUGUGCUGACACAGAGACAGAUGAGGAAAAAGACACAGAAACUUUGAAGGUGAAAAACAGGAUAAAUCAAAGAGGGUAGUCUGAAGAAUAAGAAGAGGUUUUAAAAUAGCAUUUCUCAGGAAAGUGGUAAGUUGAAUCUUCUUUUGUGAUGAUAUCAGGAUGUUUCUUUCUACUUUAGAGCAGCUUGAGUUUAAAGAAGGGAGACCAUCAUCCAGAGAGUUUAAACAAGUAGGGGUAGGAAAGGCAGUGAGGCAAUUGUGACCUAGCCUGGAACAUAAUUAAACAUAACCAAAUGACCAAUAACUUAUUAUAACAAUAAAAGAAA